GAUGAACGCUGGCGGCGUGCCUAAUACAUGCAAGUCGAGCGAACAGACGAGGAGCUUGCUCCUUUGACGUUAGCGGCGGACGGGUGAGUAACACGUAGGUAACCUACCUAUAAGACUGGGACAACUUCGGGAAACCGGAGCUAAUACCGGAUAAUAUUUCGAACCGCAUGGUUCGAUAGUGAUAGAUGGCUUUGCUAUUAAUUAUAGAUGGACCUGCGUCGUAUUAGCUAGUUGGUAAGGUAACGGCUUACCAAGGCAACGAUACGUAGCCGACCUGAGAGGGUGAUCGCCCACACUGGAGCUGAGACACGGUCCAGGCUCCUGCGGUAGGCAGCAGUAGGGAAUCUGCCGCAGUGGGCGAGAACCUGGCGGAGCAACGCCACGUGAGUGAUGAAGGUGUUCGGAUCGUAAACCUCUGUUUUUAGGGAAAAACAAACGUGUAAGUGCCUGUACACGUCUUGACGGUACCUAAUCAGAAAGCCCCGGCUAACUACGUG
rnacentral:rRNA from 1 species